GAAAAUACCAGAAAGCCUGGGAGGAGCUGGAGUUGUGUUGCUCUCUUUCCCUGCCUUCACCAAGAUGGGUCUCCCAUACCAGCAGUCUCGCCACCCCCCCAAGAGACUGAACUUCCUCCGUAGGUCUCACAAUCCCCUUGUCUCUCCAUGGGGUGAGAUGGUCCAGGCCGAGAUUUCCGGGGUGAAGAUCGCCCAGAUCCCAUACAGCAUCAAGUUCAUCAGGACACCACAGUAUUUCAAGCCGGGAAUGUCCUUCCACUUCAGGGUUUUGGUCUCAAAUCCUGAUGGGUCUCCAGCCUCCAAAGUCCUCGUCUGCUGCCAAGAACACAAAGUGUACACUUCGUCCAAUGGGGAGGCCACUCGGUCAUCAACACACGUGGAGAUCUGGACAAGCUGCCUAUCGUGGUGGAGACAGAUGAGUCUCUCCAGUCCGGGGAAAAGGCUUCAGCCACCAUGACAGCUUGGCCCUACUCAACUCAGGACAGGUCAGGGAACUUCCUGCACAUCAAGGUGAAGACAUUGGGCACAGAAGUUGGCAGCAACUUGCAGCUGAGCCUCAACACAAACCAUCGGGACUCGACAACCAAGGAUAAGAUCACUCACUUCACCAUCCUGGUCAGGGGCUAGGACUGGGACCUGAGUCAAGGAAUUCUUUCCCUGGAACACUCUUGGCUAGCUGGGUUGGAGGAACUGUGACAAGUGGUGUGAAGGUAGGAACCAUCUGGGGCGGGCUCAGGCCAAGAGGCUGAAACAAAGGGACUGUGGGUCUCCCUUAUGAGCUGGCCCUGCCCUUCUCAUCCUUGGCCUCCCUUGUCUCCAAGGUCCUGAGUAAGGGCCAGAUCGUGUACGCCAAACGUCAGCCAAAAAGUCUUCAGAAUGCUCUCAUGUCAGCUAGCAUUGAUGUGACUUCAAAGAUGCUGCCCUCCUUCCGCAUCCUGGCCUUUUAUUUACUGCCCAGAGCAACUGGCCAGGACCCUGAACUUGUGGCCGAUUCCGUAUGGAUUGAUGUGAAUGACACAUGCAUGGGGAUGGUGAACCAGACUCCCUAAGUUGCACAUCACCAUCAAAGAGCUGAGGAGAGGGCAUGUCAAAGUUCAAGGACUCCCAGUCUGGGGGCAGGCGAGAGGAAGUGGAAGAGAUGUGGCCUUAAAAGCUCAACCUAGGGCGUGGAGAAGAUACAACUGAAGGUUGGCUUGAAAAAUGACCAACGCCCCCAGAUUUUGGAGCCCAACAGCCGGGUGGAGGUGAAGGUGACAGGUGAUGCAGAGGCCACAGUGGGGCUGGUGUCUGUGGACAAGGCUGUCUAUGUCUUGAACAGCAAACACAAGCUCACACAGAAGAAGGUCUGGGAAGUGGUAGAGGAACACGACAUUGGCUGCACUGCAGGCAGUGGGAAAGACAGACUUGCUGUAUUCAAGGACGCUGGAUUGGACAUGAAGAUGAGCACAGGGAUGGACACCCUAGCA